UCCGUAGGUGGAUAAUUAAGUCAGAGGUGAAAUCCUGCAGCUCAACUGUAGAAUUGCCUUUGAUACUGGUUAUCUUGAGUCAUUAUGAAGUGGUUAGAAUGUGUAGUGUAGCGGUGAAAUGCAUAGAUAUUACACAGAAUACCGAUUGCGAAGGCAGAUCACUAAUAAUGUACUGACACUGAGGGACGAAAGCGUGGGGAGCGAGCAGGAUUAGAUACCCUGGUAGUCC
rnacentral:rRNA from 1 species